rnacentral:rRNA from 1 species
UACGGAGGGUGCAAGCGUUAUCCGGAUUCACUGGGUUUAAAGGGUGCGUAGGCGGGUAGCUAAGUCAGGGGUGAAAUCUCCGAGCUUAACUCGGAAACUGCCAUUGAUACUAUUUAUCUUGAAUAUUGUGGAGGUAAGCGGAAUAUGUCAUGUAGCGGUGAAAUGCUUAGAUAUGACAUAGAACACCAAUUGCGAAGGCAGCUUACUCCACAAUGAUUGACGCUGAGGCACGAAAGCGUGGGGAUCAAACAGG